rnacentral:rRNA from 1 species
UGGGGGAUAUUGCACAAUGGGCGAAAGCCUGAUGCAGCGACGCCGCGUGGGGGAUGAAGGCCUUCGGGUUGUAAACUUCUUUUGCUCUGAACAAGGCAUGCUAAUGGGUGUGUUGAGUGUAGGGGUUGAUUAGCGCCGGCUAACUACGUGCCAGCAGCCGCGGUAAUACGUAGGGCGCGAGCGUUGUCCGGCAUGAUUGGGCGUAAAGGGCUUGUAGGUGGCUGGUUGCGUCUGUCGUGAAAGCUCAUGGCUUAACUGUGGGUUUGCGGUGGGUACGGGCUGGCUUGAGUGCAGUAGGGGGUGCUGGAAUUCCUGGUGUAGCGGUGGAAUGCGCAGAUAUCAGGAGGAAUACCGGUGGCGAAGGCGGGUCUCUGGGCUGUUACUGACACUGAGGAGCGAAAGCAUGGGGAGCGAACAGG